rnacentral:rRNA from 1 species
UCAAGUGAAUAAGGGCAUACGGCGGAUGCCUAGGCGUUUCGAAACGAAGAAGGACGCGAUAAGCUGCGAUAAGCCAUGACGAGCUGCAAGUAAGCAUUGACUCAUGGAUUUCCGAAUGGGGCAACCCGGCAAGAGUAACGUCUUGUCACCUUAUCUUCGAGAUAAGGAGAAAACACCCGAUGAACUGAAACAUCUAAGUAGUCGGAGGAAAAGAAAUCAAAGAGAUUCCCUGAGUAGCGGCGAGCGAAACGGGAAGAGCCCAAACCAAGAGACUUCGGUUUCUUGGGGUUGCGGACCUGCAACAAACUGGACAUUCUAGUGGAAGCAUCUGGGAAGGUGCGGCAAAGAGAGUGAGACCCUCGUACACGAAAGAGUGAAAAGCGGGCAGGAAUCCAGAGUACCACAGGGCACGAGGAACCCGGUGGGAAGCAGGGUGGACCACCAUCCAAGGCUAAACAUGACGAAACGACCGAUAGCGGAAAGUACCGUGAGGGAAAGGUGAAAAGAACCCCGGGAGGGGAGUGCAAAAGAACCUGAAACCGUAUGUCUACAAACAGUCGAAGCACUAUAGAUGUGCGACGGCGUGCCUAUUGAAGAAUGAACCGGCGAGUUGAUUUAUACUGCGAGGUUAAGCGGGAGACGCGGAGCCGAAGCGAAAGCGAGUCUUAAGAGGGCGGAAGUAGUAUGGAUCAGACCCGAAACCACAGUGAUCUAUGCAUGUCCAGGUUGAAGCUCAGGUAAAAAUGAGUGGAGGACCGAACCGGUGAGUGUUGAAAAACUUUCGGAUGAGGUGUGCAUAGGGGUGAAAUGCCAAUCGAACGUGGAGAUAGCUGGUUCUCCCCGAAAUAGCUUUAGGGCUAGCCUUAAGCGAAUAACCAUAAAGACGGUAGAGCACUGAUCGGGCAAGGGGGCGUAAAGCCUACCGACCCCAGUCAAACUACGAAUGGCUCAUAUGGGCAGCCUGGGAGUCAGAAUGCGAGUGAUAAGACCCGUAUUCAAGAGGGAAACAGCCCAGACCGCCGGCUAAGGUCCCAAAUGCUGUGCUAAGUGGAGAAGGAUGUAGGACUUCGAAAACAACCAGGAUGUUGGCUCAGAAGCAGCCACCAUUUAAAGAGUGCGUAAUAGCUCACUGGUCGAGAGUCCCUGCGCCGAAAAUAUCCGGGGCUAAAGCACAGAACCGAAGCCGCGGCAGCGCACUACGUGCGCUGGGUAGGGGAGCGUUCUUAUCUGGACGAAGGUAGACCGGAAGGACUGCUGGACGGAUAAGAAGUGAGAAUGCCGGUAUGAGUAGCGAAACGACAGGUGAGAAUCCUGUCCACCGAAAGCCUAAGGUAUCCCGGGCAACGCUCGUCGUCCCGGGGUUAGUCGGGACCUAAGCCGAGGCGAAAAGCAUAGGCGAUGGACAACUGGCGAAAAUUCCAGUACCGGGCGUCUUCGUUUGAGGAUGGAGUGACGCAGGAAGGAAGCUGAGCGCGCGACUGGAUGAGCGCGUCGAAGGCGGUAGGCUCGUACGGAGGCAAAUCCCCGUACUAUAAGGCCGAGAACCGAUAGAUAGGAGAGACUACGGUCAAUCUGAAUUCAGCCGCACUACACUGCCAAGAAAAGCUUCUAACGAGAACUGAUCCGCCCGUACCAAAACCGACACAGGUAGGCGGGGAGAGAAUCCUAAGGUGCGCGGGAAAACCCUCGUUAAGGAACUCGGCAAAAUGCAUCCGUAACUUCGGGAAAAGGAUGGCCGCUGAUGGUGAAGACAUUUACUGUUGGAGCUGUUGGCGGCGGCAGAAAAGAGGCCCAAGCGACUGUUUACCACAAACACAGGUGCCUGCGAAAGCGCAAGCUGAAGUAUAGGUGCUGACGCCUGCCCGGUGCAGGAAGGUUAAGGAGAGUUGUUAUCCCUAGAGGAGAAGCAGCGAACUGAAGCCCCUGUAAACGGCGGCCGUAACUAUAACGGUCCUAAGGUAGCGAAAUUCCUUGUCGGGU